CCUACGGGUGGCAGCAGUGGGGAAUAUUGCACAAUGGGGGAAACCCUGAUGCAGCGACGCCGCGUGAGUGAAGAAGUAUCUCGGUAUGUAAAGCUCUAUCAGCAGGGAAGAAAAUGACGGUACCUGAUUAAGAAGCCCCGGCUAACUACGUGCCAGCAGCCGCGGUAAUACGUAGGGGGCAAGCGUUAUCCGGAUUUACUGGGUGUAAAGGGAGCGCAGACGGCAUUGCAAGCCAGGAGUGAAAGCCCGGGGCUCAACCCCGGGACUGCGUUGGGAACGGUGUGGCGGGAGUGCAGGAGGGGCAGGCGGAAGUGCGGGUGUAGCGGGGAAAUGUGUAGAGAUCAUGAGGA
rnacentral:rRNA from 1 species